UAAGACGUAUAGAGCCAGUGUUAUUUUUCGUGAUUUGGCGUAAAGGGUGCGUAGGCGGUAUGUUAAACAGAGAAGAGUGAGACAUGGGUCGAACUGUGGCAGCUUUUUCUGAAAUGGCAAACUAGAAUUUUUUGGAAGUAAGCGGUAUUUAUAGGGUACAGGUGAAAAGGGUAGAUCCUAUAGGAACCAUCAAUUGCGAAGGCGGCUUACUAUAAAGAAUCGACGCUGAGGCACGAAGGCAUGGGUAUCGAAUGGGAUUAGACACCCCAGUAGUCCAUGCGGACAACUAUGGGAAUUGGAUUUCAAGGAUCCGAGCUAGCGUGUGAAAUUCCCCGCCUGGGGAUGUACGAUCGCAAGGUUUAAACCCAAGGGAAUUGACGGGGGCUUAAUCAAGCGGUGGAACAUGUGGUUUAAUUCGAUACAACACGCAAAAUCUUACCAACGUUCCGAGAAGAAAAUAUAAGGGGGUGNGAAAACACAGCAAUAGGAAAAUAGUUUGAGAAAAGAAUUACUUCCUAAACCUUCGGCUUCAUAGGCGCUGCAUGGUNGUGGUUAGUCCGUGUCUUGAGAUGUACGGUUCGAUCCUAUAACGGACAAUACCCGUGUUUCUAAUUAAUAAAAUAGAAAAAUCACCACCUAAAGUUUGGAUGAAGGGCGAUUACCUCAAAUCUUCAUGGCCCGAUCAAACGUUGGGCUACACACGUGUUACAAUGGCCGUCACAAAGCGUGGCAAGAGUGCAAACUGGAGCAAAUCGUGAAUCGUGGUCGUAGUUCGAAUUAUUUUCUGGAACUCGAAAAUAUGAAGUUGAAAUCGCAAGUAAUCGGAGAUCAUGGAGCUUCGGUGAAUGCAACCUUAGGUCUUAUACACACCGCCCGUCACAUUNUGAAAGUCGAUCACAUGUUAAGCUCUAAUAAUUAUACGGUUUUAAAUUCCGUUAUAGUAUCAGGAGUGCGAGUGUGGUUGGUAAUUAGAGUG
rnacentral:rRNA from 1 species